rnacentral:rRNA from 1 species
UCUCCUACGGGCGGCAGCAGUGGGGAAUAUUGGACAAUGGGCGCAAGCCUGAUCCAGCAAUGCCGCGUGUGUGAAGAAGGCCUGCGGGUUGUAAAGCACUUUAAGCCGGAAAGAAGGCUGCAAGGCUAAUAUCCUUGUAGAUUGACGUUACCGGCAGAAUAAGCACCGGCUAACUCCGUGCCAGCAGCCGCGGUAAUACGGAGGGUGCGAGCGUUAAUCGGAAUUACUGGGCGUAAAGCGCGCGUAGGCGGUUCGUUGUGUCCGCUGUGAAAGACCGGGGCUUAACCUGGGAACUGCAGUGGAAACUGGCGGGCUAGAGUAUGGUAGAGGAGAGUGGAAUUUCCGGUGUAGCAGUGAAAUGCGUAGAGAUCGGAAGGAACACCAGUGGCGAAGGCGGCUCUCUGGACCAAUACUGACGCUGAGGUGCGAAAGCGUGGGGAGCAAACAGGAUUAGAUACCCCAGUAGUCA